UUAUGGCAAGAAUGAAGAAAAAAAAAUUAGAUGUGCGAGGGGUGUAUUCCUCUAUGAGCUUAACAUCGAGGCAUAUUUAUAGUCUGACUUGCCUUUA
rnacentral:snoRNA from 1 species